GGAGAAGGGAAGAAAGCAUAUAGUAUGGUUGGACUGAAGGCUUGCUGGGUGACCACAGAGACGUUGGUCAUUCCCCAGGCCUCUGGAAACCUCUGUUUGGCUGUAAACUUCUUACUGGGAGUUGAACCAGUGGCCUUCUGCAUGCUAGACAAAAUGUCUACCCCUGGAUUUAUAACCCCA